CCUACGGGGGGCUGCAGUGGGGAAUAUUGGACAAUGGGGGGAACCCUGAUCCAGCCAUGCCGCGUGUGUGAAGAAGGCCCUCGGGUUGUAAAGCACUUUCAGUGAGGAAGAACGCCUGGUGGUUAAUACCCAUCAGGAAAGACAUCACUCACAGAAGAAGCACCGGCUAACUCCGUGCCAGCAGCCGCGGUAAUACGGAGGGUGCGAGCGUUAAUCGGAAUUACUGGGCGUAAAGCGCGCGUAGGUGGCUUGAUAAGCCGGUUGUGAAAGCCCCGGGCUCAACCUGGGAACGGCAUCCGGAACUGUCAAGCUAGAGUGCCGGAGAGGAAGGUAGAAUUCCCGGUGUAGCGGUGAAAUGCGUAGAGAUCGGGAGGAAUACCAGUGGCGAAGGCGGCCUUCUGGACUGACACUGACACUGAGGUGCGAAAGCGUGGGUAGCAAACAGGAGUAGAUACCCCUGUAGUC
rnacentral:rRNA from 1 species